rnacentral:lncRNA from 1 species
AAAAAAAUAAAUGUGUUGUGCUUGACCUUAACUAAUGUCUUUUUUCAACUUCGCAGAUAUGAUGCCCACCACAAAUUUUGAGUUUCAAAAGUUGAAUAUUUUCAAUGAAAGGUUCUGUUCAAUGCUGAAACACUCGUCGCUCCCAAUGGAAAUAUAUGGCCAGCAUAUUAAUGAUAUGCUGUACACUUUAUUGCAUUUUCUCGGAGUAUGCC